rnacentral:rRNA from 1 species
UAGGGGAUCUUCCACAAUGGGCGCAAGCCUGAUGGAGCAACACCGCGUGAGUGAAGAAGGGUUUCGGCUCGUAAAACUCUGUUGUUGAAGAAGAACGUGCGUGAGAGUAACUGUUCAUGCAGUGACGGUAUUCAACCAGAAAGUCACGGCUAACUACGUGCCGG